rnacentral:rRNA from 1 species
ACGAGAGCCCCGAGCGUUAUCCGGAAUUAUUGGGCGUAAAGGGUGCGUAGGUGGUUGUAUUAGUCGUUUGUCAAAUCCUUGGGCUUAACCCAAGAACCGCGAACGAAACGGUACAACUAGAGAGUGUGGGGGGUAUAGGGAACUCAUGGUGUAGGGGUGAAAUCCGUUGAUAUCAUGGGGAACACCAAAAGCGAAGGCACUAUACUAACACAUAUCUGACACUCAAGCACGAAAGCGUGGGUAGCGAAUGG